rnacentral:rRNA from 1 species
GACGAACGCUGGCGGCGUGCUUAACACAUGCAAGUCGAACGAAGAGCGAUGGAAGCUUGCUUCUAUCACUGUUAGUGGCGAACGGGUGAGGAACGCGUAAUCAACCUGCCCUUCAGAGGGGGACAACAGUUGGAAACGACUGCUAAUACCGCAUACGAUCGAAACGCGGCAUCGAGGAUAGAGGAAAGGUGGCCUCUACAUGGAAGCUGUCACUGAAGGAGGGGAGUGAGGCUGAUUAGCUAGAUGGAGGGGAAACGGGCCACCAACGCGAGGAUCAGUGGCCGGUCUGAGAGGAUGGACGGUGACAUUGGGCCUGAGACACGGCCCAGACUCCUACGGGAUGCAGCAGUCGGGAAUCUUGCGCAAUGGACGAGAGUCUGACGGAGCAACGCCGCGUGAGGGAUGACGGCCGUCGGGUUUUAAAGCUCUGUUACUCGGGACGAAAGGCCUUCUUGCGAAUAGGGAGAAGGAUUGACGGUACCGGAAGAGAAAGCCACGGCUAACUACGUG